GACGAACGUUGGCGGCGUGCUUAACACAUGCAAGUCGAACGGAAAGGCCCUGCUUUUGUGGGGUGCUCGAGUGGCGAACGGGUGAGUAACACGUGAGUAACCUGCCCUUGACUUUGGGAUAACUUCAGGAAACUGGGGCUAAUACCGGAUAGGAGCUCCUGCUGCAUGGUGGGGGUUGGAAAGUUUCGGCGGUUGGGGAUGGACUCGCGGCUUAUCAGCUUGUUGGUGGGGUAGUGGCUUACCAAGGCUUUGACGGGUAGCCGGCCUGAGAGGGUGACCGGCCACAUUGGGACUGAGAUACGGCCCAGACUCCUACGGGAGGCAGCAGUGGGGAAUAUUGCACAAUGGGCGGAAGCCUGAUGCAGCAACGCCGCGUGCGGGAUGACGGCCUUCGGGUUGUAAACCGCUUUCGCCUGUGACGAAGCGUGAGUGACGGUAAUGGGUAAAGAAGCACCGGCUAACUACGUGCCAGCAGCCGCGGUGAUACGUAGGGUGCGAGCGUUGUCCGGAUUUAUUGGGCGUAAAGGGCUCGUAGGUGGUUGAUCGCGUCGGAAGUGUAAUCUUGGGGCUUAACCCUGAGCGUGCUUUCGAUACGGGUUGACUUGAGGAAGGUAGGGGAGAAUGGAAUUCCAGGUGGAGCGGUGGAAUGCGCAGAUAUCAGGAGGAACACCAGUGGCGAAGGCGGUUCUCUGGGCCUUUCCUGACGCUGAGGAGCGAAAGCGUGGGGAGCGAACAGGCUUAGAUACCCUGGUAGUCCACGCUGUAAACGGUGGGUACUAGGUGUGGGGUCCAUUCCACGGGUUCCGUGCCGUAGCUAACGCUUUAAGUACCCCGCCUGGGGAGUACGGCCGCAAGGCUAAAACUCAAAGGAAUUGACGGGGCCCCGCACAAGCGGCGGAGCAUGCGGAUUAAUUCGAUGCAACGCGUAGAACCUUACCUGGGUUUGACAUGGAUCGGGAGUGCUCAGAGAUGGGUGUGCCUCUUUUGGGGUCGGUUCACAGGUGGUGCAUGGCUGUCGUCAGCUCGUGUCGUGAGAUGUUGGGUUAAGUCCCGCAACGAGCGCAACCCUUGUUCACUGUUGCCAGCACGUUAUGGUGGGGACUCAGUGGAGACCGCCGGGGUCAACUCGGAGGAAGGUGGGGAUGACGUCAAGUCAUCAUGCCCCUUAUGUCCAGGGCUUCACGCAUGCUACAAUGGCUGGUACAGAGAGUGGCGAGCCUGUGAGGGUGAGCGAAUCUCGGAAAGCCGGUCUUAGUUCGGAUUGGGGUCUGCAACUCGACCUCAUGAAGUCGGAGUCGCUAGUAAUCGCAGAUCAGCAACGCUGCGGUGAAUACGUUCCCGGGGCU
rnacentral:rRNA from 1 species